CAAGGUUGUUCCAACUAGUCCGAUACAGUCAUGAUAUAACGAUAUUGUUACAACCUUGUGUCGUCAACCUUGUAACAUUCUUGUUAUGUCAUGACUGUAUCAGACUUGUAAGAAUAAUCUUG
rnacentral:miRNA from 1 species